rnacentral:rRNA from 1 species
UACGGGGGAGCAAGCGUUGUUCGGAUUUACUGGGCGUAAAGGCGCGUAGGCGGCCAGCACAAGUCAGUUGUGAAAUCUCCGAGCUUAACUCGGAAAGGUCAACUGAUACUGUGCGGCUAGAGUGCAGAAGGGCAACUGGAAUUCUUGGUGUAGCGGUGAAUGCGUAGAUAUCAAGAGGAACACCUGCGGCGAAGGCGGUUGCUGGCUGACACUGACGCUGAGGCGCGAAAGCUAGGGAGCAAACAGG